rnacentral:tRNA from 1 species
GGGAAUUUAGCUUAGUGGUAGAGCGCUUGCCUAGCAAGCACAAGACCCUGGGUUCGGUCCCCAGCUCU